GGGAGGCAGCAGUGGGGAAUUUUGGACAAUGGGCGAAAGCCUGAUCCAGCCAUUCCGCGUGAGUGAAGAAGGCCUUCGGGUUGUAAAGCUCUUUCGGCCGGGAAGAAAUCGGUUUUGGCUAAUACCCUGUGACUGGAUGACGGUACCUGCAUAAGAAGCACCGGCUAACUACGUGCCAGCAGCCGCGGUAAUACGUAGGGUGCGAGCGUUAAUCGGAAUUACUGGGCGUAAAGCGUGCGCAGGCGGUUUUUUAAGUCAGGUGUGAAAUCCCCGGGCUUAACCUGGGAACUGCGCUUGUGAAACUGGAAGGCUAGAGUGUACGGCAGAGGGGGGUGGAAUUCCACGUGUAGCAGUGAAAUGCGUAGAGAUGUGGAGGAAUACCGAUGGCGAAGGCAGCCCCCUGGGUUGAUACUGACGCUCAUGUACGAAAGCGUGGGGAGCAAACAGGAUUAGAUACCCUGGUAGUCCACGCCCUAAACGAUGUCAACUAGUUGUUGGGUGAGGUAAGACUUUCUUGGUACCGGAGCUAACGCGUGAAGUUGACCGCCUGGGGAGUACGGUCGCAAGGUUAAAACUCAAAGGAAUUGACGG
rnacentral:rRNA from 1 species